CUUUCCUUUAUUUUCCGGAUGCGACACCCGUUCCGUCCCUCUUGCCGCUUUUCAUCCCACGGCCAGUCCGAGGGUUGGAUGGAAUUUGUCACCCUCUAGAUGGACCUUGCUCGUAUGCUGAUCAUCGAGAUUCUUCCGUGGGUGCCGCUUGAAGGAUUCUUGGGUAGUAAUCGUGAUCAGCCGGAGUGACGUGAAAUGGAAGGAGAGUGAAGAAAGGAGGAGUAGGAGAAAAAAAAUGAGCGAGUAGGAUGUCUCGAUGGCGAGAGGUGAGCGGGAACCUUUAUACCUCGUUACGUUUUAACCCCCGUCGGUGCCUCCCUAACGACAGGCACUCACUCUUUACUUAAUUGUGGAAAUCCGGGCGAGGCGAAGUACCGUAAGGCAGAUGGGGUUGGUCUUCUUGGUACUGCGAGGGAGUCGGAUGAGGAGCAGGGAGGCAGGCUACUCCGCUUGGCGUUACUCUAUGCGGAGCCUCCAUUAAAUUCAUUAGGCCAUUAGUGGCUGCAACCCUCCAAGAUGGCUCCCGUCGCUUGGCAACCGGGAUGGUGGGCGAGCGGGUGGGUCUUGGCGUGUAAUUAGAUUCAACGAGCGAGAAGGGAACGAGGUAGAAGCUGGAAGGUGGGCUAGGAGGGUAACUUGGUUGAAGGCUGGAGAGGGUCCCUGGGCUCUUACUGGUGAUGCUAUCCCAACCUACUACGGCCUCAUCUAACCAUCCAGACAUUCCAACGAUAUACUCGGACAACCAGGCAACUGCGCUAUUCCUAUAUCUAGUAGAGAGUGGAUUUCACUAUCUUGCCUUUCAGAUAACUCUGCAUCACUCUUAUCCUCUUCGAAAUUCCUCAGCUAACCGCAGCAAGGAAGUCGAUGUAAACUAAUAUACAUGAUCGUAUGCUAUCUCAGAGGUAAUUGGCCUAGACGAGAUGGUCACGUCCAUAAAUUAACCUACCAGUUGCUACUGGAAAAACCAUGAUCCUCCAAGCAAGCCAACUGUCACGAGCAUGUAAACGUGGAAUUGGUACGGCAAGAAAGGAAAGAACCCAGCACGACGCGUGACACACACGCGUACCAAUGCGUGAAUACUGUACGGGUGCUUCUUCGGGGGUGGCGCGCCACGAGGAUUCUUAAAAUAUUCCAAGAGCGUCUAAAUCAAGGAGGCUUAGGUGCCGUCGUGCGAGCAGGGAUUACCUCUACCUUACUUCAAAGCGCCCUGCAGGUGCAGCCUCUCUGUUUUGAGUACUCCUCUCUGACAGAACGUUGAAUCAUGCGUCAGUUGCCAUUGCCAGGCGUUAACGGCAUCGUUGCCGUUCAAAAAGAAAAACGGAAAAGACAGUCUGAUCCCUGCACGUACAUACGUAACCUAUCUGCUCUACAAAUGGCGACUGUGGCUAAAUGGCAGGACGUUUACCAGGCGAAUCUUCUGCCAGAGAAAAGUUCCGUAAAGAGGCGACCGCGAAAUUAAGUGAGUGGCUGGCUGCCUGGCGUCGUCGAAGGAAUCUCAAGGAAGUCCUUAGGGAGUUGGUGAGGCAAGAGCUGGAGUAGAAGGAGUAGAGGGAGAGAGAUAGAGGAAGGGAAGGGAUAGCGAUUUCCUGGAAUAUCCAGCAAACGAACUCGAGCAAGAAUUCUCCCAAUUCUCCAAGGCAAACCCAAAGGGGCCUAAGCCCUCAAUUUCACUAGAGUAAAAGCACAAGCGAGAGCGUGAUAAAAUGGCUUCUUAUUCUCGCGUUUAUAUUCAAUCCCGGACGACUUCGUAGCCACAAAGGGUGGUUGGGAGGGGCUCCAUUUGAAACACGUUAGUCGAUGCCGUAUAUAUACACGUAUACGAGGUUCAGAGAGACAGUGGUACAGGGAACGUGAAAUCGCAGUGAUGCAUUAUGUAUUACCUUCUCUGAUCCUUAUAUGCAUCUAUGCAUGGGGCUUGAUGCAUACCAACUUUAUGGAUGCUGCGAAGGAACACAUAUGUAUAAUGCGAAGUGCUAAUGCGACUGUCUAACGUAUAUAUUUAUAUAUGAUAUAAUAUUGCUGAUAUUAAUUGUAUAUAUUUACAUGAGGUGCAGAGACUAUUGGAUUUCGUACUUGUUUUUCUUAAUACACCCUGUAUGGUAUUGUAUUAGCAUUGCUGUUGAGAUACAACUAUUGACAAUUAUCGCCUACAAAGGUUUCGGGUAAACCGUCGAUAACGGGGUUGGCGAAUGCUGGACUGUGCGGUGCAUAAGGGUGCUUGCCGUGAGAGCCGGUCGUCGGGACGCUUCGUUAACUUCGAACUACUUGGCUCGCGAGAAGUAGGA